UACGGGGGGAGCAAGCGUUGUUCGGAUUUACUGGGCGUAAAGGGCGCGUAGGCGGCACCGCAAGUCGACUGUGAAAUCUCCGGGCUUAACUCGGAAAGGUCAGCCGAUACUGCGGGGCUAGAGUGCAGAAGGGGCAACUGGAAUUCUCGGUGUAGCGGUGAAAUGCGUAGAUAUCGAGAGGAACACCUGCGGCGAAGGCGGGUUGCUGGGCUGACACUGACGCUGAUGCGCGAAAGCUAGGGGAGCAAACGGG
rnacentral:rRNA from 1 species